CGGAACUUCAAUAUUUAAAGGGGAAGAAGUGAGCAGAAGGGAAAGGAAGAAAGGAAAAAAAGGGGUGGGGUAGACAGGCAGUGAGGCAAGCAGCUACACUCCUCUGAGGCUUUGGAAAACACGCCUGUGGACAGCAGCCACAGUGGCCGCAGCCCCUCCCUCGUGCCUCAGUGCUCCCUAAGGCUCCGGAAGCUUGGCCCGGUCCCUGAGAGAAGACCAGGAAUGAGUAAAGCUGACGUUUCCAUCACUGAGUCUGUCGGAGGCUGGAGUCAAAGAGGAGCUGAUGUACAGGCAGCGGUGCCACAGCUUGACACUCCUGAGCCUGUGACCCAACUUUGGGCUGUGCCGUCAUCUCGGCUGCUGAGUGUUCAGCUCAAGCUGACAAGACAGGCCGUGAAGAGCAGUGGGUCCUGCUGGCAGUGAGGCUGCGUGGGAGAGGCGCUGGGAGCGGGUGAACAUGGAGAACCAGAUUCCCAGAGCCCAGAACCUCCGAGCAUCGUCCAAGACGCAUGCCUCAAACUCUGGUCCUGGGCAUCCGGUUGGAUUUCGGAGGAGCCUGUGGAGGGCAGAGGUCACAGCACCUGAGUUCGGCAGUGUGACCCUGGCACCGGGGAGGCGCCUCGUCCGCCCCUGCCCUAAUAUCUGCAAUGUCCUGAUGGAGUCUUGCAGAAUUAGCGAUGUCUAAGAGUUACAGGUGGGGAAUUCACCCUGCCCCGAGCUCUGGGAGAGGAAGCCCGGAGCCAGCCUCGCAGCCUGAGACAGAACAUGAUGGAGAGGGCAAAAUAGCCCCUGGAUCACCCAACGUUAGCUCAGAUCAUCCACAAUAAAAGCAAACAAACAAAAAGCAAAAGCUCCUGCGAAGUGUCUACAUGUCCACGUAGCAGAAUUGGGUCUAUAAAUUACGUACGGUGAUUCCACGCAACCUCGAAAAAGAAUGAGAUAAGGAAUCAUCCAUAAGAU
rnacentral:lncRNA from 10 species